UGCACGGAAAUGGUUCAUUUAUCUCUAUAUGUGCAAGUGACUUGAGGGCAACCUUGUUCAAUGCUGAGGACUGAGACUAGGUUCAGAAAGGAACAAAUGUCUAGAUGGUUAGGAUGCGUUAUGACAUGGUUGGACUAGAGUUUUGAUCCUUGAAAGUUAACAUCGGUCAACGAUGGGAUCAGGACUAGACUCAUUGAGAAGCUGAGAUCUAGAUGGUCAAUAUGUUGGGUAACAAUGUUGAAUAUGAGAUGGUACAUGGUGGAGAGACACCGUGUGAGGAUGUAUUCGUAACGAACUUUAAAUGUUGUCUAUGCAAGCGGCAGAAAAUUUGUGAAGAAAGUUGGAUGGAAACGAAAAGAAAAAAAUGAUGAAUAAACAAGGAGAACAUAUAAUGCUAUAGUACUCAUGGUACUAUAGCAU
rnacentral:lncRNA from 1 species